rnacentral:rRNA from 1 species
UGUAACUGACGCUGAUGCUCGAAAGUGUGGGUAUCAAACAGGAUUAGAUACCCUGGUAGUCCACACAGUAAACGAUGAAUACUCGCUGUUGGCGAUAUACAGUCAGCGGCCAAGCGAAAGCAUUAAGUAUUCCACCUGGGGAGUACGCCGGCAACGGUGAAACUCAAAGGAAUUGACGGGGGCCCGCACAAGCGGAGGAACAUGUGGUUUAAUUCGAUGAUACGCGAGGAACCUUACCCGGGCUUGAAUUGCAGGAGAACGAUCCAGAGAUGGUGAGGCCCUUCGGGGCUCCUGUGAAGGUGCUGCAUGGUUGUCGUCAGCUCGUGCCGUGAGGUGUCGGCUCAAGUGCCAUAACGAGCGCAACCCCUGUCCAUAGUUGCCAUCAGGUCGUGCUGGGCACUCUGUGGAGACUGCCGCCGUAAGGUGUGAGGAAGGUGGGGAUGACGUCAAAUCAGCACGGCCCUUACGUCCGGGGCUACACACGUGUUACAAUGGGGGGUACAGAGGGCCGCUACCACGCGAGUGGAUGCCAAUCCCCAAAACCUCUCUCAGUUCGGACUGGAGUCUGCAACCCGACUCCACGAAGCUGGAUUCGCUAGUAAUCGCGCAUCAGCCAUGGCGCGGUGAAUACGUUCCCGGGCCUUGUACACACCGCCCGUCAAGCCAUGAAAGCCGGGGGCGCCUGAAGUCCGUGACCGCGAGGGUCGGCCUAGGGUGAAACCGGUGAUUGGGGCUAAGUCGUAACAAGGUAGCCGUACCGGAAGGUGCGGCUG